rnacentral:lncRNA from 1 species
GGGACCUGGUAGGAGGUAAUUGAAUCAUGGGGGCAGGUCUUUCCCUUGCUGUUCUCAUGAUAGUGAAUAAGUCUCAUGAGAUCUGAUGGUUUUAUAAGGGGGAGUUUCCCUGCACAAGCUGCCUUCUCCUGUCUGCCACCACGUGAGAUGUGCCUUUCACCUUCCACUAUGAUUGUGAGGCCUCACCAGCCAUGUGGAACUAGUUCAAGAUUUCAACAUUUUAAGAUAAUCUGAAAAAAAUUGGAAUGUGCCCCCAGCUGCGCUACUGGUGACUUCUUCAACAGUUGAGAAACUGAACUAUGUGUUCAUGAAAAUACUCCAUCAUUAAAGUUUAUGCAAUACUCUCUCAACACUGUUUAUCAAAGGAACCAAUAUGGAAGGAAAAACAUUGCUUUGAAGGGAAGAUGGAUGGAUCCCCUAGUAAACUACAGCUUGAGGUGCAAUUUCCUAAAGUUCAAAUGCCUGAAAAAGGAAACGAAAGAAAGAAACUCAACUCUUGAGACAGCUUCAAUGCUAGCUUUGAUCUCAAUUAUAGAGUUAUUUAUGAAAAGUGCAUUUUUACAACUAAAAAUAAAUUAGGAUCAAAAGCUUCUAGAGGCUAUACUAUGGAGUGCUUAAUAAAAAGUUGAGUAAAGAGUAAUGAAUGGCUUUGUACUAUUAAUUUGAAAGAAUUACCUUCUCUUUUAAACAGCUGCCAAGAUAGUGAAGAUUGACAUGUCACAGGAAAUUAAAACAAAUGGUUUCUAGUCCUGUAUGCCUUGGUGGGUAAACAGUAGGAUAGAGCCCUUACCUGGGAAGCUGUGGGCUGGACUCUACCUCUAACUGUGUGCAACCAUUAAAGGAGCAACCUUCAGCAAGUUUAUUUAACUCUCUGGGCCUCAAAUUACCUACUCCUAAAGUGCACGAGAAGAACUAGUUCUUCUCUGAAAUUCUUCCUGUCUCCAAUGGCCUGUUCCUUAGUUCCUGUUAACUAAGCAUACUCACACUCUAAUAAAUACAUGUAAAAUCUUACCCCUUAUAGAAAUAGUUUUUUUAAAAAAAGAAUAAUCAGUUUUAAAUUUAAAUCAUAGGUCUAUUCACUCAAUGGACAUUGUUGGGAUUCAGUGUAGAAAAAGCACAAAGGAUGAACUUCCAGUCAACUUUCAGUAUUUGCAUAAACACGACACAAUUGUAGAUUAUCAAGAAAUAGUUUUUAUCAGACUAAAAUACUCUAAUGAAUGAUUUCAUAGUCUUUUGGCUGUUUAAUUAAAUUCAGUGAAUAAAUCAUUUCUUAUUCUCUAGGUAACAAUGAAAAAACAUCUCAGAAUAGUAUAGAACAGCAAAAGGAAUUGAAAGAUGGUGCUGAGGAUGAUAGAUGAUAGACAGACAGACAGACAGACAGACAGACAGAUAGAUAGAUAGAUAGAUAUUGAUAGAGAGAUAGAUAAGACAUAUAGAUAGAAUCCACUAUGUAGAAAAUGUCUCCUGUGGAUACUGGAAAGUAGCUACCUAUCUCAGGGAAAACAAUGGCAAACCCAUGAAUAAGCUGAUAGCUUUGACUAAUAGGAUAUCUUAGUUGCUGGGUUAAAAUAUGAGACUUGUGUUCAGAUUACAGUAUCUUUCAUUUUUAUAAGAGAACCUUUUUUUUUGAGAAAACAUAUGUCACGUUCACACAAUCUGGAAAUGAAUAUUCUUAUUCCUACCCCAAUCUCAUUUUCUUUUCUAGUUUUUUUUUUUUUUUUUUCCUGUUCUUUGCAGCUCACAGGGAUAAGGCAGGCAGAGUAGGAGGUAAAGGAAGAGUACUCAUGCCAAUAUGGCUCUUUGAGUAAUUACCCUGCAGAUGAGUUCCUCCAAGCACUAAAGGAGUGAGUCAGAUCCUCCCUUUGCCAUUCAGGUUCCCUGAAGUACGUCUGAAGGAAAAUAACAGGUCAUCCAGUCUUUUUCCAAUUUGGAGCUGUUGAAUUGCCACUGUUGUACUCCUUCCAUAUCUGAG